rnacentral:rRNA from 1 species
CUGAUGCAGCCAUGCCGCGUGUAUGAAGAAGGCCUUCGGGUUGUAAAGUACUUUCAGUUGUGAGGAAGAGAGAGGGUGUUGUUAAUAGCAACAUCUCUUGACGUUAGCAACAGAAGAAGCACCGGCUAACUCCGUGCCAGCAGCCGCGGUAA